CGCACACACAGAGAUUCAAACAAAUGAAAAACCACAAUGCAGAAGCUUAAGCAUACGCAAUGCAAUGCAGUGACAGAAGGACUCAGAGAUGAUGUAAUCCUUUACACCCCCUCAUUUUGAGCAAUGCGUGUUGUUUGUGAGAGCUCUGUGUGACCAUCAUGCUGCACUGCCAUAGAAAGAAGACACUGGCUACAGCUGGAAGACCAGAAAAAGGGUCACUACCCGUCUCACCAAACAUGACAAUUUUGCUCAUUAAAAA